GGUAUGAGCUGAAGGGGAGAAUGCUGCUCUGACAGACUGUUCAGCUACAGCUGCUCCAGGGAGCCCAGUGGCACAGGGAAGUGCUGGUAGAGAUGUCUAUAAAGUAAAAGCAUAAAGCAAACCAACCCAGUUUACAACCCCAUUUUCAGUUUCUUUAGAGAGCAGUGCUCAUUUGCUCAUGUGGCUGUGUUGACACAUCUGAAAAAUACAUAGGUUGCUCCAAAAGCAGUGCCUCCUGUUAUUACUGUGGACACUGCAGCAGGUACAAAGAGCACAAGAACACUGUUGGACAGAGCAGAUCCUACAACACACCGUUUUUCAAAAUAUUCACCACUGUUGGCUGUGCACAUUCACAAGUGAUGAACCAGAGCCUGCAUGCUGCACUUGUGGGGGGAAUACUUGCAGGGGCAGAGGUGGCCCGCUGUCAGCACUGCUGGAACACACCACCCACCUCUCGCUGCGCUCACAUCCACUGCUGGUCUCCAUAGAUGUUCACAUGUUCAUGAUGAACGUCACUGGAGGCCAUUUUUUUCCACACGGAGGAAUUCAGUCCCCCCCUGUUGGCUCCAUGUGCGCUCCCAUGUCACACGCUGUUAUGUCAGACAGUUCCAUACGGCAGCAAAAUGGAAUGGGAGAUCAGUGGGAAGGUUCCACCCAUCUGUCUCUGACAUCAUGGGCCAACAUCAUAAAACAGGAGGCAUUACUUUUGGAGCUGCCUUCGUACAUUUGUUCUGUGGAUUCUUGCUUGGUUGUCACACUGCUACAGGAUAAAAUGUUCUACAGAAAACCCAGAAGUGUGGCUGCAUUGCCUUUUUGUGAAGUUAUUGCUGUCUGGUAGCUCCUGAUUCAUCUCCUGGGGAUUGGUCCUCUUUCAGAUGGAAGCCCCCCCCUUGUCUCCAUUCCCCAGCAUUAAGCAGCAGCCGGUGUCUCCUCGGCGGAUCUCUCAGCAGCACUCUGUUUAUGUCUCGCCUCACAAGAACAGUGCCUGCCUGACGCCUCGAACUGCGCUCCUGUACAAAUUCAAUGGGAGCCCUUCCAAGAGUUUGAAGGAUAUCAACAAUAUGAUAAAACAGGGUGAACACAGGAGUAAGAAACGAGCCAUAACGAUUGAUGGCGACACUGAGCCCCCUAUGAAGCGACUCUGCCAGGAAAAUGAUGAUGUUCUACUGAAGCGCCUUCAGGAUGUUGUCAGUGAAAGAGCAAAUCACUAAAGCUGCCCGUUUUCUGUGGGAUCUCAGAGCUAUCUUGAGCAGGUCGAUACAGCAAUAGUGCUACUACUUCCUUACAAGAUGUGGUAUAUGCAGACAGCUGCCUAGUUUGGUUAACGUUGAACCUCUGACUUCCACAGGAUGCAGGAAGCAAGAGUUAGGUAGUAAGAAAUGGAGCAUGGAAGGUGGUUUUAUUCCCAGAGAACAUACUGUACUGUAAGUUACUCUCUUUGAGCCAUUUCAGGAAAAGAGUGAUCUGCAGAAAGCUGUGGUGGAUGUUCUUGAGCCUAAUCUAGAGCAUUUCAGUUCUGAGUGUAACUCAGCUUCUGGUAACCAUUUUAUUUUUGGAAUUAAAACGGUAAGGAAAUGAGUGAAGUCGGUUACAUUUCUCAAGCUUCCAUACUUGAGAUAGAAACUUUGAAAGUGCCUUAUUUCUAAAAUAAUGUGGAGUAACUGAAGAGGAGAACAGACUGAUUCAGUCUCAGAAAGAGUGGAACAGUUCUGAAGCAUGUGACUUGACAUCCUGUGCCAUUAUCUCCUGUCAGAGCUUCAGCAAAAGCGUAUGUUGCAACAUGGAUCAGAGCGUAGAACAUGAAUCAGGAAGCAGAUGCAGCAGUUUAAAUUGGACACCGGCAACUGGAAAAGCACAGAGAUACCUUUCUGAAUAAGUCUGAAUUACCCUUCUCCUGAGCCAGUGAGCACUGCCGUGGGAGAUGCUCCUUUCCAAUGGGAAGCUUGGUUGCUGCCUGGCUGUAGAAGCUGUGGAUAGGAAUCGCAGCUUAACUGCAAAGACCUACAAGUUGGUUAUGGUUGGAAAGAGAGCUUGGGCUUCAACUGCCUUACAGCGGUUGAUAUGUGGAAAUUCAUUUAACACAUUAUGUAACUCUACAUUUUAAGAUCUUACUCUCUUGUUGUGUAGUAUCUACACUGAAAGUAAACCCAUCGGAUAAGGUAUGUUUGUAUACAUGACUUUUGUAGCUUCUAAAGGAUUGCUUUCAUUGGAAAUGUGUACGUUCUUAUUUCUUAUAACGAAAAUUGUUGUUAACACUGAGGGAUUUUAUAGGAUUUAUUUUACCAAAACUGAAAAAGUCAAGUUUACUGUAAGUCAGUAUUUUGAUCUUAUUUCUUAAUUGCAUUUGAAGUUAGAGCCGUACAGAAACUUCUCAGCACUGUACUCUGUGUGUGUGUGUGUGUGUGUGUGUGACGCUGGAAAAAAUAACAGUUCCAUAGCAUUUGUGCUAAGGGCUCUGUUCACUUUGCUUUGUUUAGUACAUGCUGCCAGGUCUGCUGUGCUGUGCUUACAGGAAGAAAGCUUGUGUGAUCUCACGCAUCUGGCCAGCAGCCAUGGAAGGAGAGAGUAUGUACAUGGGUGUGUGCAGGGACCCUACUCAGCAAGGAUAGGAUGUUUACAAACCAGUUCAUUUGGGUCUUUAACUACUUUGAUUUUUGACUUCCAAAAAAAAGGUGCUUGUUUCUGAAAGGUGUGACUGUGGGGUAAUGGACACAGAUGCACAGAAUGCAGAUUCUUCAGUUCCUUUAAUUUUAUCCAAUUUGAAUAUUUGUCUUCAGAUGGUGAGACAAAAUGUACAAUAGAAACAAACUUUGUCUUGAUCCACUCAUCUCUGCAGUUACAACCACAUUCCCUUCAAUGCAUAACCCAGGCCCUAGAAGCCUCCUGCAUUGUAGGGGAAAUUAGGAAUCCUGACUGAGCCUUACCUGCAGGAUCACUGCAGCCCUUAUGGGUGAUGAAUAUAACCUCAGGCUUACCAGGGUUACGUUCUUCAGCAGUAUGGCAUGGUAAGGACGAAGCUGAUUCAGUCGGGAUGUAGCAUCCCUGGAAGAUCGUUGAUGAGCCCUUGGGUUGGAAGGGGCCUCAGGGAUCCUCAAGCUCCAUCCCCCCACCAUCUCUUCCUACCACAUGUACACCUCCUGCACUCCUGCAGCCUUCUCUGGAACGGCAGAGAGCUGAUGGUGCUAAGAUCCUCACUGGUGUCAUUAAACACAGUGUUUUUUCAUUAGAAAAAUGGAUGUACUACAACUGGAUGCAGUUCAGAUUUUUCACCUGUGUAGGUGACAACAUGAAAAACGUUUUUGGACUUGUGGAACAGCUGAAGCAAUGUAUGUGAAACUUUUCUAAUGGUUUAAAGUGCCUUCACAUGUAAAUAUGUAUUUUAUAAUAAAAGUAUUUUAACCUC